GACGAACGCUGGCGGCGUGCUUAACACAUGCAAGUCGAACGAAGUGGCGAACGGGUGAGUAACGCGUAAUCAACCUGCCCUUCGAGGGGGGACACUAGUUGGAAACGCAUGCUAAUCCCGCAUACUGAGUGACGGGAUUGGGUCUGAUUAGCUAGUUGGGGGGGUAACGGCCCACCAAGGCGAUGAUCCUGAGCUGGUAUGAGAGGAUGAACAGCCACACUGGAACUGAGACACGGCCCAGACUCCUACGGGAGGCAGCAGUGGGGAAUAUUGCACAAUGGGCGCAAGCCUGAUGCAGCCAUGCCGCGUGUAUGAAGAAGGCCUUAGGGUUGUAAAGUACUUUCAGUCGGGAGCGUUACCGACAGAAGAAGCACCGGCUAACUCCGUGCCAGCCGCCGCGGUAAUAC
rnacentral:rRNA from 1 species